rnacentral:rRNA from 1 species
UACGGGGGGGGCAAGCGUUGUUCGGAAUUACUGGGCGUAAAGAGCUCGUAGGCGGCUUGUCGCGUCAACUGUGAAAACCCGUGGCUCAACCAUGUGGUCUGCAGUCGAUACGGGCAGGCUAGAAUUCGGUAGGGGAGACUGGAAUUCCUGGUGUAGCGGUGAAAUGCGCAGAUAUCAGGAGGAACACCGGUGGCGAAGGCGGGUCUCUGGGCCGAUAUUGACGCUGAGGAGCGAAAGCGUGGGGAGCGAACAGG